rnacentral:rRNA from 1 species
UACGUAGGGCGCAAGCGUUGUCCGGAAUUAUUGGGCGUAAAGAGCUCGUAGGCGGCCAGUUGCGUCUGCUGUGAAAUCCCGGGGCUCAACCCCGGGCGUGCAGUGGAUACGGGCUGGCUAGAGGCAGGCAGGGGAGAACGGAAUUCCCGGUGUAGCGGUGAAAUGCGCAGAUAUCGGGAGGAACACCGGGUGGCGAAGGCGGUUCUCUGGGCCUGUACUGACGCUGAGGAGCGAAAGCGUGGGGAGCGAACAGG